GACGAACGCUGGCGGCGUGCUUAACACAUGCAAGUCGAGCGGUAAGGCCCUUUCGGGGUACACGAGCGGCGAACGGUGAGUAACACGUGGGUGACCCGCCCUCAGCUCUGGGAUAAGACCUGGGAAACCGGGUCUAAUACUGGAUAUGACUCCAUGACGCAUGUUGUGGGGUGGAAAGCCUUGUGCGGCUGAGGAUGGGCCCGCGGCCUAUCAGCUUGUUGGUGGGGUGAGGCCUACCAAGGCGACGACGGGUAGCCGGCCUGAGAGGGCGACCGGCCACACUGGGACUGAGACACGGCCCAGACUCCUACGGGAGGCAGCAGUGGGGAAUUUGGACAAUGGGGGCAACCCUGAUCCAGCCAUGCCGCGUGCGGGAAGAAGGCC
rnacentral:rRNA from 1 species